rnacentral:misc_RNA from 1 species
CAUACCCCAAAAGCUAGCUAUUGAGGUUGGAGAGGCCAAGUCCAUGUAUACCCCACAUUGAAAUCCCAUACUUUCGAUGUAGGACACAAAUUUUUCUUGCAAUGGAUCAUAACAAAAAAGAAUGAUGUUCAAUCAAAUGCCCACUAUUUAAGGGCAGUGUAGAAAAACGCCUGUAUGAAUUCGUCGUCAAGUUUAGUAUUUGUUCUUUCAUUUACUUAAAGAAUGGUGGG